AAAAAAAAAACGACUUUUUGACAGGGACUAUUAAUUUAAGAAAAACAUCUACAGAGAUCUAAGAUUUCAUCUACUGACAAAACAUUUUGUUUAUGGAACCAACACAACAUGAAAAUGACCUUGUAUUUCCAUUUCAUCUGUGCUAAAUCAAGCUUAAAAACAGAAUCGCUUUUCUUAUUCGAGUUGGAACCUUUGUUUUUUUAUGGCACAUCAUAAUAUCAUUAUCUCAUUUCAAAUCGGUGAAAUAAAGCCAGAGAAGACUAACGAAAGACCAGAAAAUACCCCAUGCAGCAUAAGUACUUAAAAGCAUUAAAGGUAAGAACUCAAAUUUGUCACCCAUAACCAACUUGUGAAUAAAACAGUUAUAA